rnacentral:rRNA from 1 species
GACGAACGCUGGCGGCGUGCUUAACACAUGCAAGUCGAACGGAAAGGCCCUGCUUUUGUGGGGUGCUCGAGUGGCGAACGGGUGAGUAACACGUGAGUAACCUGCCCUUGACUUUGGGAUAACUUCAGGAAACUGGGGCUAAUACCGGAUAGGAGCUCCUGCUGCAUGGUGGGGGUUGGAAAGUUUCGGCGGUUGGGGAUGGACUCGCGGCUUAUCAGCUUGUUGGUGGGGUAGUGGCUUACCAAGGCUUUGACGGGUAGCCGGCCUGAGAGGGUGACCGGCCACCUUGGGGACUAAGAACCGCCCGGGCCCCCGCGGGAGGGAGCAGGGGGGAAAUUUGGCCAAAGGGCGGGAGCCUGAUUGCAGCAGCCCCGGGGGGGGAAUGGCGCCUUUGGGUUGUAAAACCCUUUCCCCCGGUGACGAACGGGGAGGGACGGUAGGGGAAAAAGAACACCCGCCAAACUACGUC